CCUACGGGAGACAGCAGUGAGGAAUAUUGGUCAAUGGACGAGAGUCUGAACCAGCCAAGUAGCGUGAAGGAUGACUGCCCUAUGGGUUGUAAACUUCUUUUAUAUGGGAAUAAAAUGUUCCACGUGUGGGAUUUUGUAUGUACCAUAUGAAUAAGGAUCGGCUAACUCCGUUCCAGCAGCCGCGGGAAUUCGGAGGAUCCGAGCGUUAUCCGGAUUUAUUGGGUUUAAAGGGAGCGUAGGUGGAUUGUUAAGUCAGUUGUGAAAGUUUGCGGCUCAACCGUAAAAUUGCAGUUGAAACUGGCAGUCUUGAGUACAGUAGAGGUGGGCGGAAUGCGUGGUGUAGCGGUGAAAUGCUUAGAUAUCACGAAGAACUCCGAUUGCGAAGGCAGUUCACUGGACUGCAACUGACACUGAGGCUCGAAAGUGUGGGUAUCAAACAGGAUUAGAUACCCGUGUAGUC
rnacentral:rRNA from 1 species